AACUGGCACCCUAUUCCCUAUAUAGUGUACUACUUUUGCUCUGGACAAAAGUAGUGCACUAUAUAGGGAAUAGAGUGCCAGUU
rnacentral:pre_miRNA from 1 species